GGGGAUUUAGCUCAGUGGUAGAGCGCUUGCCUAGCAAGCACAAGGCCCUGGGGUUCAGUCCCCA
rnacentral:tRNA from 1 species